rnacentral:rRNA from 1 species
GACGAACGCUGGCGGCGUGCUUAACACGUGCAAGUCGAACGGUGAAGCGCCUUCCUUUUUGGUGGGUGUGGAUGAGUGGCGAACGCGUGAGUAACACGUGAGUAACCUGCCCCCUUCUUCUGGAUAACCGCAUGAAAGUGUGGCUAAUACGGGAUAUUCUGGGUCUGUCGCAUGAUGGGUCUGGGAAAGAUAUUGUUUCGGUGGGGGAUGGGCUCGCGGCCUAUCAGCUUGUUGGUGGGGUGAUGGCCUACCAAGGCGGUGACGGGUAGCCGGCCUGAGAGGGUGGACGGUCACACUGGGACUGAGACACGGCCCAGACUCCUACGGGAGGCAGCAGUGGGGAAUAUUGCACAAUGGGCGCAAGCCUGAUGCAGCGACGCCGCGUGAGGGAUGGAGGCCUUCGGGUUGUGAACCUCUUUCGCCAGUGAAGCAGGCCUGCCUCGUUUGUGGGUGGGUUGACGGUAGCUGGAUAAGAAGCGCCGGCUAACUACGUG